rnacentral:rRNA from 1 species
UCAUUUUUGAAGCAAUUAGCUUGCUAAGAGUGGAAAUGUUGAUGACUUAGUGGCGGACGGGUGAGUAACGCGUGGGUAACCUGCCAUAUACAGGGGGAUAACACUUAGAAAUAGGUGCUAAUACCGCAUAAGCGCACAGUAUUGCAUGAGACAGUGUGAAAAACUACGGUGGUAUAUGAUGGACCCGCGUCUGAUUAGCUGGUUGGUGAGGUAACGGCCCACCAAGGCGACGAUCAGUAGCCGGCCUGAGAGGGUGGACGGCCACAUUGGGACUGAGACACGGCCCAAACUCCUACGGGAGGCAGCAGUGGGGAAUAUUGGACAAUGGGGGAAACCCUGAUCCAGCGACGCCGCGUGAGUGAAGAAGUAUUUCGGUAUGUAAAGCUCUAUCAGCAGGGAAGAAAAAAAUGACGGUACCUGACUAAGAAGCCCCGGCUAACUACGUGCCAGCAGCCGCGGUAAUACGUAGGGGGCAAGCGUUAUCCGGAUUUACUGGGUGUAAAGGGAGCGUAGACGGCAGGGCAAGUCUGAUGUGAAAGGUCGGGGCCCAACCCCGGGACUGCAUUGGAAGCUGUCCGGCUGGAGUACAGGAGAGGUAAGUGGAAUUCCUAGUGUAGCGGUGAAAUGC